rnacentral:rRNA from 1 species
ACGUAGGUGGCAAGCGUUAUCCGGAAUUAUUGGGCGUAAAGCGCGCGUAGGCGGUUUUUUAAGUCUGAUGUGAAAGUCCACGGCUCAACCGUGGAGGGUCAUUGGACACUGGAACACUUGAGUGCAGCAGAGGAAAGUGGAAUUCCAUGUGUAGCGGUGAAAUGCGCAGAGAUAUGGAGGAACACCAGUUGCGAAGGCGACUUU